rnacentral:rRNA from 1 species
CUACGGGGGGCUCCAGUGGGGAAUUUUGGACAAUGGGCGCAAGCCUGAUCCAGCCAUUCCGCGUGAGUGAAGAAGGCCUUCGGGUUGUAAAGCUCUUUCGCAAGGGAAGAAAACUUAUCCUCUAACAUAGGGUGAGGUUGACGGUACCUUGAUAAGAAGCACCGGCUAACUACGUGCCAGCAGCCGCGGUAAUACGUAGGGUGCGAGCGUUAAUCGGAAUUACUGGGCGUAAAGCGUGCGCAGGCUGUUUUGUAAGUCAGAUGUGAAAUCCCCGAGCUCAACUUGGGAACUGCGUCUGAAACUACAAGACUAGAAUAUGUCAGAGGGGGGUAGAAUUCCAUGUGUAGCAGUGAAAUGCGUAGAGAUGUGGAGGAAUACCAAUGGCGAAGGCAGCCCCCUGGGAUAAUAUUGACGCUCAUGCACGAAAGCGUGGGGAGCAAACAGGAUUAGAUACCCCAGUAGUC